GGUGGCUCAGAGGUAGAGUGCUUGCCUUGCAUGCAUGAGGACCUGGGUUCAAUUCCUCAGCACCA
rnacentral:tRNA from 1 species